AUUGAACGCUGGCGGCAGGCCUAACACAUGCAAGUCGAGCGGAUGAAGGGAGCUUGCUCCUGGAUUCAGCGGCGGACGGGUGAGUAAUGCCUAGGAAUCUGCCUGGUAGUGGGGGAUAACGUCCGGAAACGGGCGCUAAUACCGCAUACGUCCUGAGGGAGAAAGUGGGGGAUCUUCGGACCUCACGCUAUCAGAUGAGCCUAGGUCGGAUUAGCUAGUUGGUGGGGUAAAGGCCUACCAAGGCGACGAUCCGUAACUGGUCUGAGAGGAUGAUCAGUCACACUGGAACUGAGACACGGUCCAGACUCCUACGGGAGGCAGCAGUGGGGAAUAGUGGACGAUGGGCGAAAGCCUGAUCCAGGCAGGCCGGGUGGGUGAAGAAGGUCUUCGGAUGGUAAAGCACUUUAAGGUGGGAGGAAGGGCAGUAAGUUAAUACCUGGCUGUUUUGACGUUACCAACAGAAUGAGCACGGGCUAGCUUGGUG
rnacentral:rRNA from 1 species